UCAAGCAUUAAGAGCGCAGGGUGGAUGCCUUGGCACUGAGAGCCGAUGAAGGACGUGAUAAGCUGCGAAAAGCUUCGGGGAGGAGCAAAUAUCCAUUGAUCCGGAGAUAUCCGAAUGGGGAAACCCACUUGAGCAAACCUCAAGUAUCCAUACGCCAAUCCAUAACGUAUGGAAGGGAACCGGGGGAACUGAAACAUCUAAGUACCCCGAGGAGAAGAAAGAAACCUCGAUUUCCAAAGUAGCGGCGAGCGAAAUGGAAAGAGCCCAAACCGUGGUGCGUGCACCGCGGGGUUGUGGACUGCAUAAGGUACUCGAAUCAAUAGCCGAACAGUUUUGGGAAAUCUGAUCAGAGAGGGUGAAAAUCCCGUAGGCGAAAUUGAUGAGAGGCUGGCAGGAUCCAGAGUACCACGAGACACGGGAAACCUUGUGGGAAGCAGGAGGGACCACCCUCCAAGGCUAAAUACUCCUCAGUGACCGAUAGCGCAUAGUACUGUGAAGGAAAGGUGAAAAGGACCCCGGGAGGGGAGUGAAAGAGAACCUGAAACCCUGUGUUUACAAGCUGUGGAAGUGCCUUAUGUGCACAACCGCGUACUUUUUGUAGAACGGUCCGGCGAGUUACGUUUACUGGCAAGGUUAAGUACUAUAGGUACGGAGCCGAAGGGAAACCAAGUCUUAAGAGGGCGUGAAGUCAGUAAGAGUAGACCCGAAACCGGGUGAUCUACCCAUGUCCAGGCUGAAGCUGCCGUAAGAGGUAGUGGAGGGCCGAACGCACAUCCGUUGAAAAGGGUGGCGAUGAGGUGUGGGUAGGGGAGAAAUUCCAAUCGAACCCGGAGAUAGCUGGUUCUCCUCGAAAUAGCUUUAGGGCUAGCCUCGAUGGAGUCUUACGGAGGUAGAGCACUGAAUUUCUAAGGGGGCGUCAAAGCUUACCAAGGGAUAUCAAACUCCGAAUGCCGUAAAGAUGCUCAUCGGGAGUCAGACUGCACGAGAUAAGUUGGGCAGUCAAAAGGGAAAGAGCCCAGACCUGCUGCUAAGGUCCCAAAGUACGUGUUAAGUGGAAAAGGAUGUGGGAUUUCGAAGACAACUAGGAUGUUGGCUCAGAAGCAGCCACACAUUCAAAGAGUGCGUAAUAGCUCACUAGUCGAGAGGUCCUGCGCCGAAAAUGUCCGGGGCUGAAACACGACACCGAAGCACAGGAUACCGCAAGGUAUGGUAGAGGAGCAUUGCUGGCGCGAUGAAGCAGUACCGUAAGGAGCUGUGGAGUGCCAGGAAGAGAGAAUGCCGGAAUGAGUAGCGAGAGAGAGGUGGGAAUCCUCUCGGCCGAAUAUCCAAGGUUUCCAGGGUAAAGCUGAUCUGCCCUGGGUAAGUCGGGGCCUAAGGAGAGGCAGAAAUGCGUAUCCGAUGGACAGCAGGUUGAGAUUCCUGCACUAUCUUAAAACAGAACUGUGGGGACAUUUGUGGAGAGCACAGGCGCGGAACGGAAAGCCGCGUGCAAGCGAAGGAGGAGUCACAUAGGAAAAACCGUGUGGCAAUCCAAAGGCGUGAUGCGGACCGAACUAGAGUAGGGAAGUGUGUGAGCCAUGAAUCAAGAAAAGCCGCUAUUGUUUUUAAGAUACCCGUACCGUAAACCGACACAGGUGGAUGAGGAGAGAAUCCUAAGGCCGGCGGAAGAAGCAUUGUUAAGGAACUCGGCAAAAUGACCCCGUAACUUCGGGAGAAGGGGUGCCAACGAGAGUUGGCCGCAGAGAAUAGGCUCAAGCAACUGUUUAGCAAAAACACAGGUCUAUGCAAAACCGUAAGGUGAGGUAUAUGGGCUGACGCCUGCCCGGUGCUGGAAGGUUAAGAGGAGAGGUUAGCGCAAGCGAAGCUUUGAAUUUAAGCCCCAGUAAACGGCGGCCGUAACUAUAACGGUCCUAAGGUAGCGAAAUUCCUUGUCGGGUAAGUUCCGACCCGCACGAAAGGCGUAAUGAUUUGAGCGCUGUCUCGACAA
rnacentral:rRNA from 1 species